UGGGCGUAAGCGCGCGCAGGCGGUUUCUUAAGUCUGAUGUGAAAGCCCACGGCUCAACCGUGGAGGGUCAUUGGAAACUGGGGAACUUGAGUGCCUAAGAGAAAAGCGGAAUUCCACGUGUAGCGGUGAAAUGCGUAGAGAUGUGGAGGAACACCAGUGGCGAAGGCGGCUCUUUGGUCUGUAACUGACGCUGAGGCGCGAAAGCGUGGGGAGCAAACAGGAUUAGAUACCCUGGUAGUCCACGCCGUAAACGAUGAGUGCUAAGUGUUAGAGGGUUUCCGCCCUUUAGUGCUGCAGCUAACGCAUUAAGCACUCCGCCUGGGGAGUACGGUCGCAAGACUGAAACUCAAAGGAAUUGACGGGGGCCCGCACAAGCGGUGGAGCAUGUGGUUUAAUUCGAAUUAACGCGAAGAACCUUACCAGGUCUUGACAUCGUCGGACAACUCUAGAGAUAGAGCGUUCCCCUUCGGGGGACAGAGUGACAGGUGGUGCAUGGUUGUCGUCAGCUCGUGUCGUGAGAUGUUGGGUUAAGUCCCGCAACGAGCGCAACCCUUGAUCUUAGUUGCCAGCAUUUAGUUGGGCACUCUAAGGUGACUGCCGGUGACAAACCGGAGGAAGGUGGGGAUGA
rnacentral:rRNA from 2 species